AUCUUGUCACGUGCCUCUUCACUCAUUUCCACGCCAAAUUUCAAAGUUUCCACGUGGCAGGGUUACUACUAAAGUGGCAAGACAGUAGUAUUUACGAUCGACGCGCUUUUACAAAGUAUGUGUGAGAUGGUGGUGAUCAGAGGUAGU
ensembl:ncRNA C26B2.12 ncRNA